rnacentral:rRNA from 1 species
GUAGGUUUGAUCAGUGGCUACAGGACGACGCUGGCGGCGUGCUUAACACAUGCAAGUCGAACGAAGAUAUGUUGAAAGCUUGCUGAUGCAUAUUUAGUGGCGGACGGGUGAGUAACGCGUGAGGACUUGUCUAGUACAGGGGGACAACAGUUGGAAACGGCUGCUAAUACCCCAUAAGCCUGAGGGUAAAAGGAGCAAUCCGGUACAUGAGAGACUCGCGUCCUAUCAGCUAGUAGGUGGGUAACGGCCCACCUAGGCGAAGACGGGUAGCCGGCCUGAGAGGGCGAACGGCCACACUGGAACUGAGACACGGUCCAGACUCCUACGGGAGGCAGCGGUGGGGAAUAUUGGGCAAUGGAGGGAACUCUGACCCAGCGACGCCGCGUGAGUGAAGAAAUCCCUCGGGAUGUAAAGCUCUGUUGUGUGGGAAGAUAAUGACGGUACCACACGAGGAAGCCCCGGCAAACUACGUG